rnacentral:lncRNA from 1 species
UAGGUACAGGUACUGCUAACACUGCCCUGGGUCUUAGAUCCUGGUGCUCUAUUUUUGUUUCCCACUUUCAACUUAGGAACUGGAGCACUGGCUAUAGAGAGAGACGGAACUGAUGACUUAGGAUGAAACUGGGAAUAGUUUCCUCCUUCUAUCUUAGGAUGAGCGAAGUUGAAACUAUCUGUCUUUGCUUUCUUAUUCUAC